rnacentral:lncRNA from 1 species
CUCUGCAGCUUUUAAGUUUGUAAAAACUGGUGGCCAUGCCAUUCUGAAUGUGCCCAAAUUCAUCUAAGUUUCUAAAAACUUAGAUGACUGCAGUGGUUAGCUAAUGAUAUGUGUAAGUAAAUGAACUCUGUGAAGACUAGGAAGGGCCAAGAUGAAAUGGGAGAGAUUGAAUUACAAAUUAACAAACUGAAAGAAAAACUCAAGUUGCAAAAAGAUAGUCGCAGAGACAGCAGUAACACCUUCUGGCUAUAGUCUAUUUUCAUCUUUCUCAUCCUAGUGUUAUCAAGAGAAAAACAGUCUUAGAUGCAACAUAAAAAUUUCAGAGACAGAAGAAAUCUUCCUUUGAGGGCAGGAACUACUGCUGUAAGGAAAAAAGGAGAGCUACAUGAGGACCACACAACUCCUGGAGGAGGUUUCCCUGGCAACACAACUUUUCCAUUCAUCUGGUUGCAGUGUUUUCAUCCAGUAGCCUGUCACCUCACUCAAAAGCAAGGCAGAUUUAUAAAGGAAGCUGCUGGAGGGAAUUCAUUCCCUUUUCGCUGUUCUGCCUUCCACCUUUCACUGUGUGAGGACACUGCAAGAAAGUCCUCAUCAGACACCAAUUGCCAGCACCUAGAUCUUGGAAUUCUCAGCCUCCAGAACUGUGAGAAAUACAUUUUUAUUUUUCUAUAA